UACAGAGGGUGCGAGCGUUGUUCGGAAUUAUUGGGCGUAAAGGGCGCGUAGGCGGUGCGGUAAGUCACCUGUGAAAUCUCCUGGCUCAACUGGGAGCUUGCAGGCGAAACUGCCGUGCUGGAGUGUGGGAGAGGUGCGUGGAAUUCCUGGUGUAGCGGUGAAAUGCGUAGAUAUCAGGAGGAACACCUGUGGCGAAAGCGGCGCACUGGACCACAACUGACGCUGAGAUGCGAAAGCGUGGGGAGCAAACAGG
rnacentral:rRNA from 1 species